rnacentral:rRNA from 1 species
UACGUAGGUGGCAAGCGUUGUCCGGAAUUAUUGGGCGUAAAGCGCGCGCAGGUGGUUCUUUAAGUCUGAUGUGAAAGCCCACGGCUCAACCGUGGAGGGUCAUUGGAAACUGGGGAACUUGAGUGCAGAAGAGGAAAGUGGAAUUCCAAGUGUAGCGGUGAAAUGCGUAGAGAUUUGGAGGAACACCAGUGGCGAAGGCGGUCUGCUGGGCCAAGACUGACGCUGAGGCGCGACAGCGUGGGGAGCAAACAGG